CCUACGGGAGGCAGCAGUAAGGAAUAUUGGUCAAUGGACGAAAGUCUGAACCAGCCAUGCCGCGUGAAGGAUGAAGGUCCUCUGGAUUGUAAACUUCUUUUAUAGGGGACGAAAAAAGGGAAUUCUUUCUCACUUGACGGUACCCUAGGAAUAAGCACCGGCUAACUCCGUGCCAGCAGCCGCGGUAAUACGGAGGGUGCAAGCGUUAUCCGGAUUCACUGGGUUUAAAGGGAGCGUAGGUGGGCAGGUAAGUCAGUGGUGAAAUCUCCGGGCUUAACCCGGAAACUGCCAUUGAUACUAUCUGUCUUGAAUAUUCUGGAGGUAAGCGGAAUAUGUCAUGUAGCGGUGAAAUGCUUAGAUAUGACAUAGAACACCCAUUGCGAAGGCAGCUUACUACGGAACUAUUGACACUGAGGCUCGAAAGCGUGGGGAUCAAACAGGAUUAGAUACCCUGGUAGUCCACGCCCUAAACGAUGGAUACUCGACAUCAGCGAUACACUGUUGGUGUCUGAGNGAAGANAUAGUAUCCACCNGAGACGACGCGAGUAGUUAAGUUAAUAGUUAGUUAGAGNGNGNGAGNGCGAGACGACGACGAGGAGAGG
rnacentral:rRNA from 1 species